GAUGAACGCUGGCGGCGUGCCUAAUACAUGCAAGUCGAGCGAACGGACGAGAAGCUUGCUUCUCUGAUGUUAGCGGCGGACGGGUGAGUAACACGUGGAUAACCUACCUAUAAGACUGGGAUAACUUCGGGAAACCGGAGCUAAUACCGGAUAAUAUUUUGAACCGCAUGGUUCAAAGGUGAAAGACGGUCUUGCUGUCACUUAUAGAUGGAUCCGCGCUGCAUUAGCUAGUUGGUAAGGUAACGGCUUACCAAGGCAACGAUGCAUAGCCGACCUGAGAGGGUGAUCGGCCACACUGGAACUGAGACACGGUCCAGACUCCUACGGGAGGCAGCAGUAGGGAAUCUUCCCGCAUGGGCGAAAGCCUGACGGAGNCACGCCGCGUGAGUGAUGAANGUCUUCGGAUCGUAAAACUCUGUUAUUAGGGAAGAACAUAUGUGUAAGUAACUGUGCACAUCUUGACGGUACCCUAUCAGAAAGCCACGGCUAACUACGUGCCAGCAGCCGCGGUAAUACGUAGGUGGCAAGCGUUAUCCGGAANUUAUGGGCGUAAAGCGCGCGUAGGCGGUUUUUUAGUCUGAUGUGAAAGCCCACGGCUCAACCGUGGAGGGUCAUUGGAAACUGGAAAACUUGAGUGCAGAAGAGGAAAGUGGAAUUCCAUGUGUAGCGGUGAAAUGCGCAGAGAUAUGGAGGAACACCAGUGGCGAAGGCGACUUUCUGGUCUGUAACUGACGCUGAUGUGCGAAAGCGUGGGGAUCAAACAGGAUUAGAUACCCUGGUAGUCCACGCCGUAAACGAUGAGUGCUAAGUGUUAGGGGGUUUCCGCCCCUUAGUGCUGCAGCUAACGCAUUAAGCACUCCGCCUGGGGAGUACGACCGCAAGGUUGAAACUCAAAGGAAUUGACGGGGACCCGCACAAGCGGUGGAGCAUGUGGUUUAAUUCGAAGCAACGCGAAGAACCUUACCAAAUCUUGACAUCCUUUGACAACUCUAGAGAUAGAGCUUUCCCCUUCGGGGGACAAAGUGACAGGUGGUGCAUGGUUGUCGUCAGCUCGUGUCGUGAGAUGUUGGGUUAAGUCCCGCAACGAGCGCAACCCUUAAGCUUAGUUGCCAUCAUUAAGUUGGGCACUCUAAGUUGACUGCCGGUGACAAACCGGAGGAAGGUGGGGAUGACGUCAAAUCAUCAUGCCCCUUAUGAUUUGGGCUACACACGUGCUACAAUGGACAAUACAAAGGGCAGCGAAACCGUGAGGUCAAGCAAAUCCCAUAAAGUUGUUCUCAGUUCGGAUUGUAGUCUGCAACUCGACUACAUGAAGCUGGAAUCGCUAGUAAUCGUAGAUCAGCAUGCUACGGUGAAUACGUUCCCGGGUCU
rnacentral:rRNA from 1 species